UACGUAGGGUGCAAGCGUUAAUCGGAAUUACUGGGCGUAAAGCGUGCGCAGGCGGUUAUGCAAGACAGAUGUGAAAUCCCCGGGCUCGACCUGGGAACUGCAUUUGUGACUGCAUGGCUAGGGUACGGUAGAGGGGGAUGGAAUUCCGCGUGUAGCAGUGAAAUGCGUAGAUAUGCGGAGGAACACCGAUGGCGAAGGCAAUCCCCUGGACCUGUACUGACGCUCAUGCACGAAAGCGUGGGGAGCAAACAGG
rnacentral:rRNA from 1 species